GCCCACUUAGCUCUAGUGGUAGAGCGCACCCUUGGUAAGGGUGAGGUCACGCGUUCGAAUCGCGUAGUGGGCA
rnacentral:tRNA from 1 species